AAACCCUGAUCCAGCCAUGCCGCGUGAGUGAAGAAGGCCUUCGGGUUGUAAAGCUCUUUCAGCCGGAACGAAACGGUCACGGCUAAUACCUGUGACUACUGACGGUACCGGAAGAAGAAGCACCGGCUAACUACGUGCCAGCAGCCGCGGUAAUACGUAGGGUGCGAGCGUUAAUCGGAAUUACUGGGCGUAAAGCGUGCGCAGGCGGUUUUGUAAGUCAGAUGUGAAAUCCCCGGGCUUAACCUGGGAACUGCGUUUGAAACUACAAGGCUAGAGUGUGGCAGAGGGGGUGGAAUUCCACGUGUAGCAGUGAAAUGCGUAGAGAUGUGGAGGAACACCGAUGGCAAAGGCAGCCCCCUGGGUUAACACUGACGCUCAGGCACGAAAGCGUGGGGAGCAAACAGGAUUAGAUACCCUGGUAGUCCACGCCCUAAACGAUGUCAACUAGUUGUCGGGUCUUAACGGACUUGGUAACGCAGCUAACGCGUGAAGUUGACCGCCUGGGGAGUACGGUCGCAAGAUUA
rnacentral:rRNA from 1 species